rnacentral:rRNA from 1 species
UUCGCAAUGCCCGAAAGGGUGACGAAGCGACGCCGCGUGUGGGAAGAAGGCCUUCGGGUUGUAAACCACUGUCGGGAGUUAAGAAAUGUGGGUUCGAUAAUACCGGGCCCACUUGACAAAAGCUCCAAAGGAAGCCACGGCUAACUCUGUGCCAGCAGCCGCGGUAAUACAGAGGUGGCAAGCGUUGUUCGGAAUUACUGGGCGUAAAGAGCACGUAGGUGGAUUUGUAAGUCAGAUGUGAAAGCCUUCUGUUCAACGGGAGAAUGCCAGCUGAUACUACAGGGCUUGAGUACGGGAGGGGAGAGUGGAACUUCUGGUGGAGCGGUGAAAUGCGUAGAUAUCAGAAGGAACGCCGGCGGCGAAAGCGGCUCUCUGGCCCGCAACUGACGCUGAGUGUGCGAAAGCUAGGGGAGCAAACGGGAUUAGAUACCCCGGUAGUCCCAGCCGUAAACGAUGGGCACUAAGUAGAGGGGUUUU